UGACAACAAAAUCGUCCGCACAUAAUCUAUAUUCAACCAUAACUCAUCAAGCUGGCCUUUUUUGCUUAGUGCUGCCGUUAGUCGUUAGUGUUUUUAAAUAUUCCGCCAGUUAUCUUUGAGGUCGAAUAACCAGUACGGAGAUCUGCACAAACCAGUCCUUACGUUGAACGUGCAUUAGCCACGCGGCCACACCCGAAACACUCCAGAACUGAAGUGAUCGCAUGCAUUGCAACUGUUUAGAACAAGAACAAAGUUGCAGGCACGGAGAAAAGUCUACUUUGUGCGAAGCGGAUCAUCAUCAUCUGUAGGGCUGCUGACGUCGCGCAACAAUGUACGGUAGAAGGUUUGGGUGCCUGGUGGCACUGGCCAGUUUGUACCUGGUCGGUUCGGAGGUGGUCUCCAAGCUGGAGACGGUCAAACAGUGGAGCUUCCUGACGUACAACUUCCCGUGGGAGUUUCCGGCGAACCAGAAGGAGUUUUACAAUCCAGAAAACAUAGUCGCGACUGGUAUCGAGGUGGGGUAUGAUCGGAUCUUCAUCGCUACGCCGCGACUGUUCAGCGGAGUUCCGGCCACGUUGUCGAGCAUUCCACGUGGAUCCCAGGGUGAUUCGCCGGUUCUUCAGGCUUAUCCCGAUUGGUCACACCAUGCUGCAGGUACGAAGCAGUACAACUGCUCUGACAUCGGACUUGUGUCCGUGUACCGCAUCCGGAUCGAUUCGUGCAACCGACUGUGGGCUCUGGAUGCUGGCGUUUCCCGAUCGCUGGAGGACUUCGAGGUGACCUGCCCGCCGAAGAUCCUCGUUUACGACCUGCACACUGACCAGGUCGUCCGAAGAAUUGACUUCCCACCGGAGGUCGUCCGCCGUGAAUCGCUGUACACCAACAUCAUCAUCGACGAGACCACUUCUCGUCCGGAGAACAACUGCGAUGACGUGUUUGUGUACAUUACGGACACUGUUGCCCCAGGAAUUGUAGUGUACGACAGCGGAAAGGACCUGACGUGGCGCGUCAGUCAUCCGGCUAUGUAUCCCGAUCCGGACUUCUCCGAGUCUACCAUUUUGGAGCACCGAUUCACGUUGAUGGACGGCGUUGUCGGGCUGGCCUUCGAUCCGGAAGCUGAAAUCGUGUACUUCCAACCACUGGCUACCGAUAGACUGUUCUCCGUAGCGACGUCCGCCCUCCGGUCCGGUCCACUCCCGUUCGGAAAGGAACUUCCAGUGAAACUUGUCGGACGCAAAUCUUCCCAGGGCAUCGGUCUGGCCGCUUCUCCUCGCGGUGGAACCAUCUUCUACUCACCCUUCACCGAAACCGCCGUAGCAAGCUGGAAUCCCCGUACCAAUGAACACGCGAUCCUCGCGCAAGACCAGGAACGGCUACAGUUUGCGGCGGAUAUCCGUACCCCGGCCCGUGAUGGCACAGCCCUGUACAUUUUGACCUCCCGAUUCCACCGGUUCUUCCUGAAGAACGUCGACGGCAACGACUUCAACACCCGAAUCCUUCGCAUCGACGGACUGGUCACCCCAACGGCUCCAUCCGUGCCUUCCGCAUUGCUUCCGUCCGGCUUCGGACCCACCUACGAAACCAACUCGGCUUACUACAGCCUCCUGCGGUAACACCCUCCUCCCAGUUCAAACCCUCCCCAAACGGUUCCUCCCAAAUUACCGCCCGGCGCCUGCGCCCUCGAACGCCCACGUCAAACCGUACGCGUUCAUCCAGAACUACUUUGUCAACAGCAAGCAGCCGUACGCGUACGAGCCGGUUCCCAUCAUCGACAAGACCAAGAACAAUCCGUUCUUCGUGCUGAACAGCGGCGAGAAGCCGUUCCCGGCUACCCGGCAGCGUCCCCAGUACGGGCUGAACGGAGAGAUCUUUUUCCCCAAGAUCAACCACCACUUCAACGACUUUAACGGGCUACGGUACGCCAAGAGUUUACGGGCUAACCUCACGGCGAACCACUAAGCGAGUGGAUAACGAUACUUUGGAUCACCCCCUAAUGACAGCUUGGCAACACUGCUCAUGUCAAUAACACCGAUACCAAAUUAAUUAAUUUUGAAGUAAAUGUGAGUUUGGAUAAAAUUCAAUCAAUUUUUGAGGGAAACAAAUUAAAUUUCAACUAAAUCUGAGAGAUAUGGGUUAAGGGAGUUGCUGUAAGUCCUUUGCACGAAGCUUUUCAACCUAUCUUUUCUUUGCCAAACGUCAAACGUCAAACCCAUGCAGGUAGACUGAUCUUGACAUUUUCUGAGAAUAAAAUAUAGGUUAAAAACUGUGCGCAAAGGACAACACUUUGGAAGUUUUUAAAUUCGUGAAUGUUAUUGACGGGUGGUGAUUCAACUACGAACUAAAAUUCAUAAAGCACGUAUUCUGCCUUACUUUUUGGUCUAUGUCUUGGACUUUUAACCCAUUCAAAAUGAAAACUGAAGUCUUGUCUUCAACACUAGCAAAUGUACUGCUACACACGUUGCACGCGUUGAAGACUAGCCUUCAAGCCAACACAGCCGGCGCUGGCAACACUGCUGCACCCAUUCGGCCUCUCUUCCCUACGCUGAAGAGAGCAUCUCUGGAAUGGUCUUUAGUGCACAAUUUCCCAGCAAAAAAAACAAAACGCACAAGCACAUGUGUAAAUAGUACCACAAUACUCAUUAUUUCAAUUUUCGAAGCAAUUUGCCCACUUUUGUACACAAAUCAUGCAAAAUACUCAAUAAUAUUAGUAGGUUAAUUUGUACUUUUUGUUCCAACUCGUCACUCCCCAGUUGUCUAAUCCUUAACCCACACUACAUCACUCCUCCCCUUUUUGUACGUUCAUAAAGCCAUAGAUGAAUGCAUUUUUCUGUCCCCUUUUGAUCGCUGAUAUGUAGUUUUUUUUGUGUUGCUACGUGCAUUGCAUAAAUAACAAAACUAAGGACGCCAAUGACUCAACCACGAUCACAAUCCUGUUGAAACUACGUUUAGUAUAAAAAAAAUGUGUAACGAAAAGAGAGAACCCCAGCUUGUGGACCUCGAAAAAUAAGGGACACUAUUUCGUGCCCGCGGCUUGUAAAUAAAACCAAUGCAAAAAAAGAACUAAAUCGUGAGAGCGAAAAAAAGAAGCAAACUAGUAUCGACCGCGUGACUACUUUAGCAUUAGCAUAAAAGCCACUUUGGGGAGAAGCAGAAGAAGAAAAAAUAAAGUGUAGAUUGUACAGCGACAGACUCAACACAGGUUCAGUUUGUUUUUUAUGCAAAGAGGCGUUUGCGUUCGAGCAGCAGCAAUCGUGUGUGGAGUGUCCAUCUGCAAAGUGGUGUUGUUCAACAUAUUGAUGUGCACUCUGCAACAUGAUGAUACUGUUUAAAGAUAUUGGAAAUCAACUACAACAACAAAAAGUGGAACUGUCGAAGUAAAAACUGAACAUGACGUGAAAACAGGUGUUAAAUUUAGCUCAAUGAAAUCAUUCCAGGCGAACUGUUUUGGAUCGUGAAAAGUUAAUAAAUAUUUAAUUUAGUAAUAAA